UGGUAACCUGUGGAGAAAGACAGAAACCAAGGACAGAGAGGUUCAGAGACAGGUGGACAUCUAGCAAGCUGAGUCACGGGAUCGUGGGAACUCUCUGGGAUUGAGAAUACAAUACAAGAUGGGGCGAGCACGAAUGUGCUGAGUGGUGUCAUCCUUGCCCCGGAUGGUGACCUCUUCUGGAACUGCAUCCUCAGGGAGUGGGGGGCCUGCUCCCACACAGGCUUUUAAUGCCCCACACGUGUUCCUGGAUUUUACCUCCAGGAAGCAGGAAAAUCGUCAGUAAGCAAAAACCGAGUCAUUCCUGCCUCCCCACUGCCUCUUGUCCUCCAGACAUGAGCUCUUCUGGAUUCUACCUCCAUGCUUUGUGCAAAUCACUAGCUGGAUGCAGGCUGCAUCUUUUUAUGCCAAUUUAUGAUUCAUUAAAACAGCCUGCAUUAUCUGAACUGAAGAGAUGGAGAUGCCUUCAUGGACCUUAAGGUGUAUGGUGAUUAGAAGGGAGGAAAAUGUAUUACCUGAAAUUGUACCAGAGCAUGGCAGUGUAUGGAGGUGUGGACUGAAAUCUGCCAUGUGGGUAUAAGCUGGUUUCACGAAAUGGGGAAA